CCUACGGGAGGCAGCAGUGGGGAAUUUUGGACAAUGGGCGCAAGCCUGAUCCAGCAAUGCCGCGUGAGUGAAGAAGGCCUUCGGGUUGUAAAGCUCUUUUGUCAGGGAAGAAACGGCUGAGGUUAAUACCUUUGGCUAAUGACGGUACCUGAAGAAUAAGCACCGGCUAACUACGUGCCAGCAGCCGCGGUAAUACGUAGGGUGCAAGCGUUAAUCGGAAUUACUGGGCGUAAAGCGUGCGCAGGCGGUUUUGUAAGUCUGACGUGAAAUCCCCGGGCUCAACCUGGGAAUUGCGUUGGAGACUGCAAGGCUGGAGUCUGGCAGAGGGGGGUAGAAUUCCACGUGUAGCAGUGAAAUGCGUAGAGAUGUGGAGGAACACCGAUGGCGAAGGCAGCCCCCUGGGUCAAGACUGACGCUCAUGCACGAAAGCGUGGGGAGCAAACAGGAUUAGAUACCCUGGUAGUCCACGCCCUAAACGAUGUCUACUAGUUGUCGGGUCUUAAUUGACUUGGUAACGCAGCUAAUGCGUGAAGUAGACCGCCUGGGGAGUACGGUCGCGAAGAUUAAAACUCAAAGGAAUUGACGG
rnacentral:rRNA from 1 species